UGGGGAAUAUUGCACAAUGGGCGAAAGCCUGAUGCAGCAACGCCGCGUGAGUGAUGAAGGCCUUCGGGUUGUAAAGCUCUGUCUUUUGGGACGAUAAUGACGGUACCAAAGGAGGAAGCCACGGCUAACUACGUGCCAGCAGCCGCGGUAAUACGUAGGUGGCAAGCGUUGUCCGGAUUUUACUGGGCGUAAAGGAUGCGUAGGCGGAUUUUUAAGUGAGAUGUGAAAACCCUAAGCUUAACUUGGGGACUGCAUUUCAUACUGGAAAUCUAGAGUGCGGGAGAGGAGAAUGGAAUUCCUAGUGUAGCGGUGAAAUGCGUAGAGAUUAGGAAGAACACCAGUGGCGAAGGCGAUUCUCUGGACCGUAACUGACGCUGAGGCAUGAAAAGCGUGGGUAGCAAACAGGAUUAGAUACCCUGGUAGUCCACGCCGUAAACGAUGAGUACUAGGUGUAGGAGGUAUCGACCCCUUCUGUGCCGCAGUUAACACAAUAAGUACUCCGCCUGGGAAGUACGAUCGCAAGAUUAAAACUCAAAGGAAUUGACGGGGUCAUAGCUG
rnacentral:rRNA from 1 species